UACAGAGGUCCCAACCGUUGUUCGGAUUCAUUGGGCGUAAAGGGUGCGUAGGCGGUCGCGCAAGUCGGAUGUGAAAUCUCAGGGCUCAACCCUGAAACUGCAUUCGAUACUGCGCGGCUAGAGUGCUGGAGGGGAGACUGGAAUUUACGGUGUAGCAGUGAAAUGCGUAGAUAUCGUAAGGAAGACCAGUGGCGAAGGCGAGUCUCUGGACAGCAACUGACGCUGAGGCACGAAGGCCAGGGGAGCAAACGGG
rnacentral:rRNA from 1 species